UACGUAGGCAGCGAGCGUUUGUUCGGAGUUACUGGGCGUAAAGGGUGUGUAGGCGGUUGUUUAAGUUUGGUGUGAAAUCUCCCGGCUCAACUGGGAGGUGCGCCGAAUACUGAAUGACUUGGAGUGCGGGAGAGGAAAGUGGAAUUCCUGGUGUAGCGGUGAAAUGCGUAGAUAUCAGGAGGAACACCGGUGGUGUAGACGGCUUUCUGGACCGUAACUGACGCCGAGACACGAAAAGCGUGGGUAGCAAACAGG
rnacentral:rRNA from 1 species